AAAUUAGUGACAGAAGAGAAUGUGUAAAAUUGUAAAUUUUAUUAUGGUAGUUUACUGCUGCCCUGGUUUA